rnacentral:rRNA from 1 species
UACGGGGGGGGCAAGCGUUGUUCGGAAUUACUGGGCGUAAAGGGCUCGUAGGCGGCCAACUAAGUCAGAUGUGAAAUCCCCAGGCUUAACCUGGGAACUGCAUCUGAUACUGGAUGGCUUGAAUCCGGGAGAGGGAUGCAGAAUUCCAGGUGUAGCGGUGAAAUGCGUAGAUAUCUGGAGGAAUACCGGUGGCGAAGGCGGCAUCCUGGACCAACACUGACACUGAGGAGCGAAAGCCAGGGGAGCAAACGGG